CCUACGGGUGGCAGCAGUGGGGAAUAUUGGGCAAUGGGCGCAAGCCUGACCCAGCAACGCCGCGUGAAGGAAGAAGGCCCUCUGGUUGUAAACUUCUUUUUUCAAGGACGAAACACAUGACGGUACUUGCUGCAUAAGCCACGGCUAACUACGUGCCAGCAACCGCGGCAAUACGUAGGGGGCAAGCGUUAUCCGGAUUUAAUGGGUGUAAAGGGCGUGUAGGCGGGACUGCAAGUCAGAUGGGAAAACCAUGGGCUCAAACCAUGGCCUGCAUUUGAAACUGUAGUGCUUGAGUGUGGGAGAGGCAGGCGGAAUUCCGGGUGUAGCGGUGAAAUGCGUAGAUAUACCGAGGAACACCAGUGGCGAAGGCAGCCUGCUGGACAACAACUGACGCUGAGGCGCGAAAGCGUGGGGAGCAAACAGGAUUAGAUACCCUAGUAGUC
rnacentral:rRNA from 1 species